rnacentral:tRNA from 1 species
GGGGCCGUAGCCUAGCAAGGUAGGGCGCCGGGCUCCAGACCCGGAGGUCGCCGGUUCAAAUCCGGCCGGCCCCA